CCAGCUUCCUUCCAGCCCUUGAUGUUUCAGUAUGCACAUAGGCUAGAAAGAGGUUGGGGA
rnacentral:pre_miRNA from 1 species